UCGCCUCGACAGUCCGUCGC
rnacentral:sRNA from 1 species